CCGCUCGGGGCUGCUGGGGGCUCCGGACUGAGGCCCUGAGGGGAGGAAGCGCCUGGAAAGGGCCUGGGGAGGUGCGGCCUGCACAAGCCUGAGAGGCACAAAGGUCUCCCCUAACCAAGAAGCACCAGCUAGAUGCAGAACUGGGCUACAGGCCAGAGGUGCAGAAGUAGUGAGCAGA